UCUCUCUCUCUCUCUCUCUCUUUCCCCCUUCAGACUCAAAUUUCAAAUUUCUCUCUCUCUCUCUCACUGACUCAGUGAUUCUCUCAUCUUCUCUCAUCAUCCAACAACCAAAUCGAGAUAAUGCCGUUCAUCUCCGAGACUGCUAGCGCCAUCAAGCGCCGAUUCGGAUUCAACGACCGUCCCGCUCCGUCGGAGUCUCUCCGAUCUGUGCCUUGCACGCCGGAAGCUAACACCGUCUCGAGGGAGAACCACACUCAUCAGCCUUCGAUUUACUCUUCCGCGGUUCGCAGCAUGUCUGAUUUGGACGAAGACGGUGUGAUUUGCGCUGGAUCUGCUCAGAUAUCGAGGUCUCAGAGCUUUGAGUUUAACGACGAUCCCGCGUUCUGGAAAGAUCACAAUGUUCAGGUUAUCAUAAGAACGCGUCCACUUAGUAGUUCAGAGAUUUCAACACAAGGCAACAACAAAUGUGUAAGGCAAGACAAUGGCCAGGCAAUUACUUGGAUUGGGAAUCCAGAGUCUCGUUUCACAUUUGAUCUCGUUGCUGAUGAGAAUGUUACCCAGGAGCAGAUGUUUCAAGUGGCUGGAGUGCCUAUGGUGGAGAAUGUUGUGGGUGGUUACAAUAGCUGUAUGUUUGCCUAUGGCCAGACUGGAAGUGGGAAAACUCACACUAUGCUUGGAGAUAUCGAGGGAGGAACACGUAGACACAGUGUCAACUGCGGGAUAACACCUAGAGUUUUUGAGUAUUUGUUCUCAAGGAUUCAAAAGGAAAAAGAAGUCCGCAAAGAGGAAAAGCUACACUUUACUUGUCGAUGCUCGUUUCUGGAGAUAUACAACGAGCAAAUCCUUGAUUUAUUAGAUCCGUCAUCUUGUAAUUUACAGCUAAGGGAAGACCACAAGAAAGGUAUUCAUGUUGAAAAUCUAAAGGAGAUUGAAGUCUCAAGUGCCAGAGACGUGAUUCAACAAUUGAUGCAGGGUGCUGCAAAUAGGAAAGUAGCUGCGACUAAUAUGAAUCGUGCAAGUAGUCGAUCCCACAGUGUAUUUACAUGUAUCAUCGAAAGCAAGUGGGUAUCUCAAGGUGUAACUCAUCAUCGUUUUGCACGGCUUAAUCUUGUUGACUUAGCUGGAUCUGAAAGGCAAAAGAGUUCAGGAGCUGAAGGUGAACGCCUCAAAGAAGCUACCAACAUCAACAAGUCUCUUUCAACAUUGGGGCUUGUGAUCAUGAAUCUCGUAAGUGUUUCCAAUGGAAAAUCAGUCCAUGUUCCUUAUCGAGAUUCGAAGCUCACAUUUCUGCUUCAGGAUUCCCUUGGAGGGAAUUCAAAGACAAUAAUAAUUGCUAAUAUUAGCCCAUCUAGCAGUUGCUCGUUGGAGACCCUAAGUACCUUGAAGUUUGCACAGCGUGCCAAGCUUAUUAAGAACAAUGCAAUUGUCAAUGAAGAUGCAUCUGGAGAUGUUAUUGCUAUGCGGCUACAAAUUCAACAACUCAAGAAAGAAGUAUCCCGCCUAAGAGGAAUGGUUAAUGGUGGAGUAGACAAUCAGGACAUGGACACUGUCUCAAUGGGCUGCCCUGCUUCUCCAAUGUCUCUCAAGUGGGAUGGGUUCAAUGGAUCAUUCACUCCUCUGACAACUCACAAAAGGAUGUCUAAGGUAAAAGACUACGAAGUUGCACUUGUUGGUGCUUUCCGAAGAGAGAGGGAAAAGGACGCUUCUUUACAAGCAUUGUCUGCUGAAAAUGAGGCUUCAAUGAAGUUGGAAAAGAAAAGAGAGGAUGAAAUACGAGGUCUGAAAAUGAUGUUAAAGCUCCGAGAUUCAGCAAUUAAGAGUUUACAAGGUUUAGCUUCAGGAAAGAUCUCUGUUGAAGCACAUCUGCAGAAAGAAAAGGGUGACCUUAUGAAGGAGAUUGAGGUGCUACGUGCUCAAGUUGACAGAAAUCAGGAAGUUACCAAAUUUGCCACGGAGAAUUUGCGAUUGAAAGAAGAGAUCCGAAGAUUGAAAUCACAAUGUGAGGAAGGUGAAAGGGAUAUCUUGAAUCAACAGAUUCAAGCAUUACAAGCCAAGUUGCUAGAAGCUCUUGAUUGGAAACUCAUGCACGAAUCAGAUUCCUCAAUGGUGAAAGAAGCUGGUAACAUCAGCAAUAUGUUCUGCUCAAACCAGAAUGAGGAAUCAAAGAAACUUUCGUCGAUCCAAGACGAGAAUGAAUUCCUCCGGAUGCAGGCUAUUCAAAACCGGGCAGAAAUGGAAUCAAUUCAGAAGUCAAUAAGUUUUUCACUUGAUGAGAAAGAGAGAUUGCAAAAGCUUGUCGACAAUUUGACCAAGGAACUUGAGGGAAGAAUAAGAUCCUCAGGCAUGGUUGGUGAUGAAGAUCAGAUGGAGGUUAAAACAAUGGUUCAAGCCAUUGCAUGUGCUAGUCAAAGAGAAGCUGAAGCUCACGAGACAGCAAUCAAGUUGGCGAAAGAAAAUGAUGAUUUGCGCCAGAAAAUAAAGGUCUUAAUUGAGGACAACAACAAACUUAUAGAGCUGUAUGAACAAGUAGCCGCAGAAAACAGCUCCAGAGCUUUGGUGAAUACUGGGACAGAUUCGUCAAGUAAUAAUGCCGAAGCUCAGAAGAGUGCAGAAAUUGCUCUGGAGGUUGAGAAAAAUGCAGCUGAGGAACUGAAGAAAAUGAUAGGAAACCUGGAGACUCAGCUUAGCGAGAUGCACGAUGAGAACGAGAAGCUAAUGAGUCUGUAUGAAAAUGCAAUGAAGGAAAAGGAUGAAUUCAAAAGACUGCUCUCUUUUCCUGACCAAGAGAAGCCUAUUGAAGUUGAUGGUGAUGGAGCCAAUUGCUCCUCUGAUACUGAAAUGGAGCUAUGUGGGCAACUGUGUAACAAUUCUUCUAAAAAGUCUACAGAAGAUUUAAACUCAGCAAGGCUGAAACUUGAACUGGCUCAGGAAAAGCUUUCAGUCUCUGCCAAAACCAUUGGAGUGUUCUCUUCACUUGAAGAAAAUAUUUUGGACAUCAUCAAGCUGUCAAAGGAAAGCAAAGAGACUGAAGACAAAGUUAAGAAGCACCAGUAUGAGCUAGGAUCAAUCAAAAAUAUCUCUGAUCAAACUAAUGCAAGAAAAGAAGUUGCAGAGAAAAAGCUGGCGGCUCUCAGAUGCUCACUAUCAAAUUUUGCAUCAUCUGCAGUAUACUUUCAACAGCGAGAAGAACGGGCAAGGGCGCAUGCAAACGCAUCUUCCGACCAUCUAAACCAAAAAAAUGAAGAACUUGAUGUUCUCCGUUCUUACAAAAGAGAAAUCGAUGCUGCUAUGGGUAAGAUCCAACAAUCCGAGGCAGAGCUGAAGAGUAACAUUGUAAUGCUGAAAAUAAAAGUGGAUGAAGAGAACAAGAGGCACGAAGAAGAGAAGGUUCUUUGCACGAUAGAUAAUAUUGAGAAGAUCAACACUCCUCAGCGAAACACUCUGCGUACAGGCAAAGCCACAGAUUUACUGAAAUCCCAGGAAGAGAAAACAAAGCUCCAAUCCGAGAUGAAGCUUUCUCGGGAGAAAUUGGCUUCAAUUAGAAAAGAAGUUGACGACAUGACCAAGAAGUCCUUGAAACUGGAGAAGGAGAUCAAAACCAUGGAAACAGAGAUAGAGAAGAGCUCAAAGACGAGAGCCAAAUCAGAGAUGGAAUUGGAGAACACAAUCCAAGAGAAGCAAACUAUUCAGGAGGUGGAAGAACAAGGGAUUUCUGAAAUACAAAACAUGAUAAUCGAGAUUCACCAGCUUGUCUUUGAAUCAGAUCUGAGAAAAGAAGAGGCGAUGAUUGUAAGAGAAGAGCUCAAUGCAGAGGAGCUUAGAGCGAAAGAUAUGCACAAAACUAUGGUCGAGAGAGUCGAGAACGCGUUGCAGACUCUAGAGAAGAACAACAAUGGCAUAUCAGGCAAGAUCGAAGAAGAAGUAGAGAGUGUUUUGGGUUUGGUUCACGACGCCUCGAGGUUGCUUGAAGUUUCUCAGUAAUAGAAGUGGCUUGAGUCGCACGUUGGAGAUUCUGAUUGCUGUGUAAUGAAAUAUUAAGACAGUUCUUGUUGUUAGAAGCUCUAAAUAUUUUUUAUAUAUGGAAUGAAAAUGGAAGUACAUCACUUUCUUUUCUUGCUAAACUCAGGUGAAGCUGUUGGAAGCGUCAACAUAACCUCAGUGAGUUGCAUCUUUUUGAUGCUAUCCAUUGUAGGUGCAACGUAGACUUUCACAACUUCAAGACACUCCAUAUGCAGUAAGAAAUGGCUAACGUGUUUCAGCUCGUUUUCACUUCCAUGAUACUGCUUGAUACACAACAUCUUUA